UUUGAUCCUGGCUCAGAUUGAACGCUGGCGGCAGGCCUAACACAUGCAAGUCGAGCGGCAGCACGGGAAGCUUGCUUCCUGGUGGCGAGCGGCGGACGGGUGAGUAAUGCAUAGGAAUCUGCCCGGUAGUGGGGGAUAACCUGGGGAAACCCAGGCUAAUACCGCAUACGCCCUACGGGGGAAAGCAGGGGCUCUUCGGACCUUGCGCUAUCGGAUGAGCCUAUGUCGGAUUAGCUGGUUGGUGAGGUAAUGGCUCACCAAGGCGACGAUCCGUAGCUGGUCUGAGAGGAUGAUCAGCCACAUCGGGACUGAGACACGGCCCGAACUCCUACGGGAGGCAGCAGUGGGGAAUAUUGGACAAUGGGCGCAAGCCUGAUCCAGCCAUGCCGCGUGUGUGAAGAAGGCCUUCGGGUUGUAAAGCACUUUCAGUGGGGAAGAAAGCCUUUCGGUUAAUACCCGAGAGGAAGGACAUCACCCACAGAAGAAGCACCGGCUAACUCCGUGCCAGCAGCCGCGGUAAUACGGAGGGUGCGAGCGUUAAUCGGAAUUACUGGGCGUAAAGCGCGCGUAGGUGGCUUGAUAAGCCGGUUGUGAAAGCCCCGGGCUCAACCUGGGAACGGCAUCCGGAACUGUCAGGCUAGAGUGCAGGAGAGGAAGGUAGAAUUCCCGGUGUAGCGGUGAAAUGCGUAGAGAUCGGGAGGAAUACCAGUGGCGAAGGCGGCCUUCUGGACUGACACUGACACUGAGGUGCGAAAGCGUGGGUAGCAAACAGGAUUAGAUACCCUGGUAGUCCACGCCGUAAACGAUGUCGACUAGCCGUUGGGUCCUUCGCGGACUUUGUGGCGCAGUUAACGCGAUAAGUCGACCGCCUGGGGAGUACG
rnacentral:rRNA from 1 species